rnacentral:lncRNA from 1 species
GGCUCCUGACAGAGCUCAGCACUUACAGGAAGACCAGGAGCAGAGCACGUGUGUGACUAUAAUCCAGUAGAAUAAUCUACUGGACUAUUCCAAGAAUUAAAAGAGAGCAAGGACGUUGAAACUCCUGUGACGUACCCAAGGGGAUGCACUGCCCAACUCCUCUUUUGAGGAAAGACUUGCCAUUCUAUGUGAAUAAAUUGUCAGCAAACAGCACCAGCUGUCAGCUCUUUCCGGUGUGCUUCAGUGACAGAGUUCCUCAUCCAACAUCAUGGCCUCCCCAGGGUGGCCUGUGCUGGGAGCUGGGCUAGGAAGGCCCAGCCAUUCUGGCUCUGUGAGGGGAGCAAUGACGGGCAGUGCUAGCUUCAGAGUUUCCUGUCAUGGACUCUGUCUCAGGAGAAACCUGGAGGGAUUAUGGAAGAGCUGCUCCUUGAGUUCUACUGCAUCUAUGGACAAAAGGAUGGGCUGUGGCACCUGAAAGAAAGCAUCCCUCUCUGACAUAUGCAAGAGUAAAGCUGUCUGAGGGCUUUAGCUGCUGCAUUCCUGAAACCCAUCUUUGGAAUGCUGCCAAGCCUAUGGUUUCCAGUAGGAGUAUCAAGGCAGACCCAUGUCUGGGAGACAAAGGAUGCCUGUGAAAAACAAUUUUGGUUUGGGGACUCCUUAAAGUGUUGUUUGAUUAUAUUUUUUAAGAAUUCCACUGCAGUCUAAUAUUCUUUUACUCAUUUUCUUUUGUUUUGUUGCUCAUUCACUUGUGGUUGGGCCUGUACUAUUGUCUCACAGUGCUCUAGACACUGCUGGUUUUCUCCACAUUUUUUCUCAUAGACACUUUUAAAAUUAAUAUAUUUCUUGCAUUUCUAGCCCCUUUCUGGCAUUUCUUUCUCUGAGGGGCUGGAUUAACCAUUUAUUCUCUAGAUUCCAAAUGUUGUUUUUCUGUUAGCAGUAACUCAUGAAAGUUAGCUAUUAUUUGCUUUUUCCCCUCCUCUUCUCCUUUCCCUCUCACAUUCUCUAAUUUUUUCACUAUUUUAUUGGAUAUGUUCAUAGCAUAAAAGAAUGAUCAGAAAAUAUUUUCUGGAAAAGAUGAGAUAGUAAAUAUUUUACACUUAUGGGCCAACAGUUUCUGUCCCAACUUUUAAUUCUGCCAUGGUAGUGCAUAAGCAACCAUAGCCAAUAUCUAAAUAAAUGGGUCUGGCUGUAUUCUAAUAAAACACUACUUACAUAAAUAAGCAGUAGACCAGAUUUGGCCCUUUGACAACUUUAGGUCUAAAUUAUACUUUCAUUUCUAUUUGACUUUUUUUUUUAUCAUUAAGUCUAACCCUUUUAACUUUCAGCUAUUAUUUGUUGAAGAAAUCAAUUUUUUUCUAAUUUUCAAUGAAUACUUCCAUCUUUUUCUUUUUUUCUUCUUUGUUUAAAUACUAUUUCUAGGGCCAGGGAUAUAGCUCAGCCGUGCAGUGCCUGCCUGGUAAGAACAAGGCCCUGAGUUUGAUUCCCAGUACCAUAAAUAAAUAAAUACUAUUUCUACAUUUUUAGAGUAUAUAUCCUAUUCAUAGUAUUUUCUGGAUUUUUUUCUAUGUAUUUUGAGCUUAUUUCUACAAAUCUGUUAAAUUCUUAUCCCUAGAUCUUAUGCCACAGCUGUUCUAAUCAUUUUAAGUUGCCUAUAGUUUAUUAUACAUUCUUCAGGAAAUAAUAGUACUGUAGCACAAAAUUUUUUUAUAUAAUGUUUUUUUUUUUUUGGUACCAGGGAUUGAACUUGGGUCCUUGAGGUUGCAAAGCAGGCGACAGAACCACUGACCUAAAUCCUGGACCCUAGAAUGAUAUUUUUUUAAAUGACUUUAUAUUUCACUUUUGUAGUUGGAUGGUUUAGUAGAAUGUAAGAUCCUUUGACCAUUUUUUAUUUCCCUGGUUAUCUUUAAAAUGCUGUUCAUUUUUUUUCUAAAAAUGCAAUGUUGCUAUGUUGCUGUCAAAAAUCUGGUAUCUGUCUGAUUUUCUUUUCUUUAUGAUUGACUUAGAUUUUUUCUUUUUGCCAUACUGGGGAUUGAACCCAGGACUGCAUGCAUGCUAGGAAAGCCUUACUGGUGAGCUAGACCCCCAGAUCUUUUAUUUAUUUAUUUUUUAAAAUUCUGAGACAGGGUUUUGUGAAGUUUCUCAAGCUGGUCUUGAACUUGUGAUAGUCCUGCCUCAACAUCUUAGGUAGUUGAGAUUCAAUGUACACCGCUACAUCUGCCUUGAUUUAGUUUUAGGCCAACUUCCCCAACUUUAUUUUUACCCUUAAAUUCUCA